rnacentral:lncRNA from 1 species
CGGGGAGCCGCAUCCUCCUCGAGGAAGCCUUAGUUUUUUUUUUGUAUUUUGACUUGUAUUUACAGCUUUACUUAUUGUAUUCACAACUACAUAUACAUCAAUACAAUGAGUAGACAAUUUUCUUCAAUAUAGUGCACAUUUAUCUCUACUUGCUUGUGUGUUCUGCUUACCUCCUUUUUGAUACGAUGACAAAAAGGGGGAGAAAUAUUUAAUAGAUAUGUAAAAGGAAUCAAAACAAAGUUGAAUGCAUAUGUUGAGGGGGAGAAUCUGAAUUUUUUAAGCCAAAUCAUUAUAUCUAUAUAAGCCAAAUAAUUGAGUGCAUGACAUGAAGGCUUAUAUAAUUCCAAAUGAAAGGGGGAGCUUUAACUCCAAAAUUUAUUGUUUCACACCUUUCAAGUUUGGAUAAAUUAAAAAACCAGACACUUGAAUUCAUUUAUAGAUUUCAUUUUCUUGUUUAUUGAGCAAUUCACUUUACAUAUACUCAAUGUUUUGCAUCAUCAAAAAGGGGGAGAUUGUGGAGUGAUUGAUUAUAACCCUAUUUGAUUUUGAUGAGCUCAAAGCAUUUGAGUAUAUCUUUUGUUUACUAAUGAAUUCAAUCAAGUGUUUCAGUGGAAAUCUUGUCUAAGUGUUUCUAGAUUUGGUUCAAGAUAUUUUGGAUAAGUUAAGAAGUCAGUUUGAACCAAAGUCUGAGACUCGAGUCGACUCCGGAAUAUUACGAGUCGACUCCAAGCGUAUCAGAAGCACUGGCACGGGCUCGAGUCGACUCCGGAACAUUACGAGUCGACUCCGACUGAGAACAGACAGAUGAACAGAAAGACACAAU